rnacentral:rRNA from 1 species
UUGACGGGGGCCCGCACAAGCGGUGGAUGAUGUGGAUUAAUUCGAUGCAACGCGAAAACCUUACCUACCCUUGACAUGUCCGGAAUCCUGCAGAGAUGCGGGAGUGCCCGAAAGGGAAUCGGAACACAGGUGCUGCAUGGCUGUCGUCAGCUCGUGUCGUGAGAUGUUGGGUUAAGUCCCGCAACGAGCGCAACCCUUAUCAUUAGUUGCUACGCAAGGGCACUCUAAUGAGACUGCCGGUGACAAACCGGAGGAAGGUGGGGAUGACGUCAAGUCCUCAUGGCCCUUAUGGGUAGGGCUUCACACGUCAUACAAUGGUCGGUACAGAGGGUUGCCAAGCCGCGAGGUGGAGCCAAUCCCAGAAAGCCGAUCGUAGUCCGGAUUGUUCUCUGCAACUCGAGAGCAUGAAGUCGGAAUCGCUAGUAAUCGCGGAUCAGCAUGUCGCGGUGAAUACGUUCCCGGGUCUU